UUGUCUUGAUUUUGUUUUCAC
rnacentral:siRNA from 1 species